rnacentral:tRNA from 1 species
CGGGCAGUAGCAAAGUUGCAGAGCUCCCGCUUCGUAUGCGGGAAGACUUGGGUUCGGUUCCCGGCUGCUUAU